GAAAGAAAGUGUCUGAGACUAGACAAUCAGGACAAUACUUUUUCAAGAGAUGUUCAAGUGGCUGAGCAAGUAUAGUAGUGGCCUGGAAGAAAACACUCACCAUUUCAGGUGAAGUAACCAACUCCAAGUGCUCACAUCCUUCAGGCAAUCCAGCCUCCACGCAAGGGAAUUUGAUGAUUACGAUAUCAAUUUUGUGUCCCAAAACCCUGCUGCGUUGAAUUGAUUUUGAAAUAUCAGGGGCAUUGACAGGAGUUGUGAUUAUACUUACCUUUUGGCCUCUUGAUGCAAAUAGCUUGGCCAUGUCUAUGAGUGGAAUACUAUGGCCUUGAGCCAUAAAUGGAAAGAAAAAAAAGUAAAGCUCGGAUCUUUUUCCACUUUCCAUUUGAUCUUGCAAGAAUGGUCAAAAACUCGAAAUUGAUUGAGCUAAAAACUCUUUUGUAAAAAAGAAGUAGAAAGAGGGUUGAUCUACAGAUUUGCUAUCAUAGAAGGGAGUUCUUGUGUGUGAAUUUCUAUCAGAAAUGGUAGAUAAAGAUCAAGAAAGACACAUUCUAGCAUCUUUUUCCUUGUCCUUUUCUUACUUUAUGUUAGCGUUUUGAGUGGCCAAGCAUGACCGGCUCUAACCAUUUCCCAUUACACCAACGCCAUGCGUAGGCCCGCUCACAAAAUCUUUGCAUUUAGAAAAUUGGAUUUUUGGUUUUCUUUUUUCUUUUAUUGUUAUAUAUACCUAGGGUCUCACAUUAUAAUUUUUUUUUAUAAAAUUUAUUAUUAAAUUCAGAUUUUUUAUUUUAAUAUAUUUUAUUUUUAAUUUUACUAAAAAAAUCUUAUACAUAUUUCAUAAGAAUUUUAUUUAUUUGUUGAGCUAUUAUAUUUCUACUUUUGAUUUAAUUAAAAAUCUUUAAAUUUUUAAUAAAAAUAAAAAUUGAAAUAAAAAAAUUUAAUAAAAUAAAAUAAAAAAUAAAAAAUUUUAAAAUUAAAUUAAAAAAAAAAUCAAAAACUUUGCCUAUUUUUCAUACCGACUAUGCUAUAUUUUGUUGGUCAUCCCGUAGGUAAGUAAGUAGAUUCAAACAUGAAAAUGAUGAAAUGACCUUGAAAACCACAAACAAGAAAAAAAGGAAACAAAUAAGGCAGAUUUUCUUCCAUGUUAAUAUAAGCACUCGCGUCGUACACAAAUAAAAAAGAAUUGCUAAAGAUAAAGUAUCAGACACCCCUAAUUUGUAACUUAUAGCCAAAUAAGUCUAGUUUCAACUAUUUUAACAAAUAGACCUAUAAUUUCUAUUAAAAGGCAAAUAGAUCCAAAAUCCGACUAAAACUAAUGAAAAGUAUUAAUAAUAGUUUGGCAAAGUUGACGGUGAUAGUAAAAUAGAAGCAAUAAUUUUUAAUUUUAAUUUUUUUAUUUUAUUAAAAGAAUUAAUAUAUAAAAUCUAAAAAACUUAAAUUUAAAUUUUAUUUUGAAUAUUAAAAAUUAAUAUUUGUUUAAAUUUUAUUUUAUUUAAUUAAUUUAAAUAAUGAGUAUGAUAGACAUAUUUAUAAUUCUUUUAAAAUCCAAAUUUAUUUAGUCAUUAAAUAGAAGUUAUAGGCUUAUUUAUUAAAAUAAUUAAAAUUAGACUAUUUUACCCCAGCUACGAGUUUAGGGGAUGUUUGACCCUUUAUCCAAAUUACUAAUAAAGAAGCAAGUGAACCUCUGCAGCUUGAUUGUUUUGUAUGAUAAAAUAUAUGAAGCUUAAAUUUUAGUAUCACUCCUGAAGCACACUCAACGCUGGAGUUCAGGUGAUAUUAUACAUAAAUGCAGGUGAGAUCAUAACCUACUAAACUUUACGCAUUAGUAGAGGUAUGAUCACAGCCUGUAUAACUUUUAGUUUUGAAGGUAUUAUACAAUAGUGAUAAAAAGAAAAUCUUCAAUUUCUAAUGGACUCGAAUGAAUAAGAUUCACAGGUAAAGCUUGGAUAUAACAAUGCAGGUCAUAUUUUCAUUGUGCAUAUGAAAGUUCUUAAUCAUAUCUUAGUUUUGGUGAAGCUUGUCGAAAGGUUCCAGGUCUUAGAAUGAAGGUGUGACUGCUGGUUUGCCAAUGGUAACUUGGCAUAUUUUGGUUUUGGAAAUGGUUUAGAUUUGUGGGAGAUUAUGUGGAGAAUAGGAAGAUAGAGAAUGCAGUGAAAGAGAUAAUGGUGGGGGACAAAGCAGAAGAAAUUUGAAGCACAGGAAAGAAUUUUGGAGAAAUGGUAGAGAAAGCUAUUAAACAAUGGGGGCUCAUCUUAUAAUGAUUUGUGUGCUUUAAUUGAAGAACUGAAAUCUUAUCAUCCUUGAGAAUUGCAACAAUUACUAUGUUCCUAAAUCAUGCACUACAUGGAACUUAAAUUUAUUUGGAAGAAAAAAGGCGAAGAAAAGAAUUCUUAACCAAGGUGAAGAUAUUGAAAAUAAAAAUCUACAUUGCAAUAUUAAUAACAACAUUCUAGACCUUUUUUCUCCUCAAUUCUUCAAUGAAGGCAUUAAAAUCAGAGUAAGAAGAUCCACCUUCCGAAACUGCUUUUCUUGCCAUUUCUCCAAUGUUUUUUGCCCUACAUCUCAUUUCCUCUGCUUCCUUAUCCACCAUAACUUGUGUCACUGCCUUCUUUAUGGCUUCUUUCUUCACACUAUCACCAACUACUCUAGACCAUUUUUUAGUACCCACAGCAACUCCAAUUCUUAAUAUCUCAGUUAUCAACUUUUCGUUGUAAAACUGCUCAGCAGCUACUGGCCAUGUAACCAUUGGCACUCCUGCCGCUAUUGCUUCAAGCGUUGAAUUCCAUCCGCAAUGAGUUACGAAUCCUCCAAUUGCUUCAUGUUCAAGAAUCGUUACUUGAGGUGCCCAUCCGUGUAUUAUUAGUCCCUUCCCUUCCAUUCUUUUCUCAAACCCCUCAGGUAACCAUUCUUCUUGAUUGUUCUUGCUUUUCUUUACCACCCAAAUAAACUGCUGCCCAGAAUCUUCAAGACCCAUUGCAAUCUCAAGAAGUUGUGAAGAAACGAAAUUCGCAACACUUCCAAAGCAAAUAUAAAUAACAGAGUUUGGUUUCUUUGAAUUGAGCCAUUCCAAACACUCGUUUUCAUCAAUAGAUGCUUCUCUCCCUCGCUUUGCUUUAUCCUGAAUGUUACUAUUGCAUAACGAAAUGGGGCCAAUGUUCCAUGCUUUGAUUCCUAAAACUUUCUUGAAAUGAUCAACAUAAUCGGGUUCGAGCUCGUAGAAGCUAUUGACAAUAACGCCAUAGCAUUUAGCUUCUGCUUCUUUUACUUUCUGAUAGAACUCAGAGAAGCCAGUUUGUUGUAUAACAAAUUCUGGAAGUUGGUUUCUUGUCAACUUGAUCUCACCUGGAAAUUCUGGAAUGACAAAAAGAUCGGUAUCGGAUGAUAUGUUCUUGUAAGGCUGAUAUUUAUUCACACACUGUGAAGCACAUGAAGAGAAGAAACAAGUUCCACUAAAUACAAUUCUUGGAAUACCAGAUUUAGAUGCAGCUUCAUUAGACCAUGGAAAGAAAGUGUCUGCAACCAGACAAUCAGGACGGUACUGUUUCAAGAGAUGUUCAAGUGGCUUAGCAAGUAUAUCAGUGGCCAUGAAAAAAUUUAACCCCAUUUCAGGUGAAGUAACCAACUCCAAGUGCUCACAUCCUUCAGGCAAUCCAGCUUCCACACAAGGGAAUUUGAUGAUAAGAAUGUCAAUUUCAUGACCCAAAACCCUGCUUCUCUCAAUUGCUUU
rnacentral:lncRNA from 1 species